AGGUCAUUAUCAAGGUUUUUAGAAUGCAAUUUCUCAUUUGCUGUGGACAUGACCAUAAAAAAAUUUUCCACUUGGAUUUCUCUCUGCUAUCUUGCUAGUAAUUAGCCUAUUGGGAACAAUU
ensembl:snoRNA